rnacentral:rRNA from 1 species
AGCGAACGCUGGCGGCAGACUUAACACAUGCAAGUCGAGCGGGCAUCCUUGUGGUGUCAGCGGCAGACGGGUGAGUAACGCGUGGGAACGUGCCCUUCGGUUCGGAAUAACUCAGGGAAACUUGAGCUAAUACCGGAUACGUGCGAGAGCAGAAAGGUUUAUCUGCCGAAGGAUCGGCCCGCGUCUGAUUAGCUAGUUGGUGAGGUUAUGGCUCACCAAGGCGACGAUCAGUAGCUGGUCUGAGAGGAUGAUCAGCCACACUGGGACUGAGACACGGCCCAGACUCCUACGGGAGGCAGCAGUGGGGAAUAUUGGACAAUGGGGGCAACCCUGAUCCAGCCAUGCCGCGUGAGUGAUGACGGCCUUAGGGUUGUAAAGCUCUUUUCUUCGGGACGAUAAUGACGGUACCGGAGGAAUAAGCCCCGGCUAACUUCGUG